UUUUUGGUGCUGAAAGCAGGGUUCUUCCUUGAGUUCCUUCUUUCAUCUCAUUUCUUCUUCUCUUUUCUAUUCCUUAUAACCAUGAUUUUGUCUCUAUGUUGUGUAAUUUCUCCACUUUUUGGUGCUGACCAUCCUAAAAGUUCUAAUCCUCUAUUUUUUAUUUUCUUAUUAUUUUUGCAAAGGUUUGAAGUUUUCAUAGAUCAAUCCAAAGAAUUUGUGAAACAAGGUUCUGUGGGCUGGUCAUUUUCUGAUGUAAUGUUUGUUACUAAGCACAAUAUGGAAAAUUCUGUUGCAUCUGUUUGGUAGCAGUUAGAGCAUGUUUCUGACGCUUUUUCUAUAAGUAAAAUACUAUAAAUAAAUUUUGAUAAUUUUAGUCACCUUUCAUUUUAAUCAUAUGUAUUAUGUGCUCAUUUCACUUUCCCUGCGGUCAACAAUAGGCAUUUGACAAAGAGAUUGGAUUUGGAUUGAAUGGUGGAUGAGCCGAGGCAAGCACCAAUGCUUAUUGUAAAUGAUGUAUUACAUAUCUUGUUUUUGUCAUGAUAAUUUUACUUUUGCAAUUACACAUGCUACAAUGGCUUUUUAAAUCGUAUGGUUCAUACAUUUAUGGUU